UGAACGCCCGCGCUCCCCACCGCCGCCGCAAUCAUCGCCCACGCGCGGAUCCCCCACGAUCCUCCCCACCGCCGCCGCAAUCAACGCCCACGCGGAUCCUCCCCACGAUCCCCACCCCGCACACCCCACCCUUCCAUCACCGACCGGAAUUAUCGAUCCAAAGCUCCCUUUAGAGCUCGAGCUCUAUCCAACCCACAAACGGGAUCCCGAUGCCCAUGGCGGCCUCGGUUCGUCUCGCCGCACCGGCUGCCUCGCCCCCGCUGACGUGCCGAAGAUGGGCUCCUUUUCUCGCCGCGUCACAUCCACAGGCGAACCCGCCGCCUCCCGCACCGCGCUUGCGGGUGCCCACUCUCCUCUCCGGGCCUCCCCUGUUCCCCGCGAUUCCUGCGCCAGAGCCGCCGUCCGGAGGACACCGUGUGCGGCGUCGGCAAUAGGUGAAGGUGUGGAGGCGGAGUCCAUGGCGCUGCUCGCGCUUGGCUGCUGCACUGCAGCCGCCGCUCUCGGCGCGACACGGGCAGCGACGGGGGACUCCAUCAAGGCAUCAGGAUUCGGGCUAUGGGUGGCAGAGUCGCUGCGGAGGCUCGGAUGGCCCGACGACACCGUCGUGUUCGCGCUCGCGACGCUGCCGGUGAUCGAGCUGCGGGGGGCGAUCCCGUUGGGUAUUGGUUGCACAGAUCCAUGGCUCCACAGAUCCAGCACCAUCCAGUCACGUGAAUCAUGUUUCUUGUACUAUGGCCCGAGAUCGCGUGAAUCAUGGAGCUGGAUGAGGUUGCUGUUACCACCGGAGAGGAAGACGAUACAGUGCUUCUGGACAUGUGAGUCAUCUACAACCGCUUUGAUUCUCUCCCUCCACGAUCCGACCGGCAACAAGGAGGAGCACCAGUGGCAAUGAGUCAUCUACAACCCUAAACCCAGUGAUUCAUCCAUAUCCAUGUGAAUCCCCAAUUCCUUAGCAUCUUGUAUAAGAUAGGUGCAGCAAACAAAGUCUUUUCGUGUUUCUUGUACUAACUGAAUCACCUAUGUGUAGAUCUAAUACUUCUCGAGCGCACCUAAGGGAUGAUUGUUUAGUUCCACUAAGAAAAAUUGAGAGGCAAUAUAUCUGCCACUAUGAGAACUUUGGCGAGGUAUUGUUUAUCAUCCUAAAGUAAUCUUCGAUCUGCAAAGGCAUGGUUCCAUUUCAGUUGCAAAGAUGAACGUGGUUCAAUGAAGAAAAAGAGAAAAUAGCUAAUAGCUCCAUAAUUAUCGGAAUUGAAAAAACAUGUGUACAUAGCUAUGCGUGGAUUUACAACAGAUAAAAAGCGCAAAUACAUAUCAUAUUUUCCCAUUACAGAAUAAUAGUGCAUGUCAGUGUUCAAUUUGUCAGUUGCUUGAUUAAUCUUUUUUCUGCUAUAUCAGAUUUUGCAGAAAUUCUUAGAUAGCUCUAAGUUGAAGAGACACUUUCUUAUUCAUACAAGAGAAAAGAAUUUUGUGUGCCCACAUGAAGGUUGUUAUUGUUAUUAUUAUUGUUAUUCUUAUUAUUAUUUAUUUGACAAUAUGUGUGAUUUUAAUUUAAAGGCACACAUGAAAACACAUUCUGCAAAUAACUAGCAUGUGUGCCAGUACCCAGAAUGUGGCCGAAGACACAGGAAUCAACAUUAAGAGCUCAUUUCAGGUUGUUGGCCUGCAGAAUCCAAGUGCGUCGGUAAUGAACCAUAGUGCAAUUGGAGAUCGACAUCAGCCCCCUAAGUCAGCAAAGGUCCCAGCAACACCUCCAGCUCCCUCAGUUGAGCGCCCUUAUGUCUGCUGCUAGAGACUCUCCACCAACUGCAUAUCCUAUUCUGCUUUUUAAUUAACUAUGUGCAUGCUGCAAGCUAUUCAGGUUGACAUAUUUUCUAGGGCAGAUGCUCUGAUGGUGCCUUUGUUCCUUUUCUUUUGCUCUCUCCUUUUGCUGUGGCACAUGAUAAUUAUCAGACUAUUAGUGGAGAUCUGAUGUUCUUUAUAUUAACUAGAUCCAAAAACAUCAGUCUAAUGUUUCAGUAUUGCUCAUGUAGAAGAAUGGUGAACACUAGAAGGUUGUGGAGUCCUAAAGACGAGCAAGCCUGGGUCCAUGAUAGAUUUGAUGUGAUGGAUAUGCAUGAUUUUCAUGGUGACAAUUUAACCUGGAUCAACACGCCUUGAAUAUAAGCAUGGUGAAGCGCGGCUAUCUUGUCAAACAGUUAUAGCAUGCUACCGAGGAAGGUCGCAGGUCCAUAUGUGGUCAUUUGUCAACAUUUUUUCAUUUGAUUUGGUGCCUCCAUGGUCUAUGUAUGGAUGUCAUAUUUCUCAUGACAUGAUCAUUGCUAGCUUAGCCAUAUUGUUCAUUUGACCAUAUUACUCAGCAAUUAAGUCCGUACUAUUUUAGUUAUUAUUUGUUACUGACACAUGUUAUUUUGUUACGAAUCUCUUAGUUACUCUUUUGUGUGUGUAAGCUUCCUUUCUUUUCUUUUACUAGGUUUCAAAAUUCAUGGCAUGCUAAUGUCUGUUUUUAGUGUCACAUACUUGAUAAGUUGUUUGUGUUGCAUACCUGAAUGACCAGGAAAAAAGGUCAGAGAGUAAAUCGACGAGCCAUCUUCAAAUCAUAUCUUGUUGCAGUACCAUAUGCGUGCUCACUGUCACUUGAAUUGGUCUUUCUUCACGCAGGCUAGAACUUCUGUGCUUCAGCUCUCCGCCUCAGUCUAAAUGGUCACCAGAGCAGGGAUUCAUGAAAUAGGUGACAAAAACCGGAGAGGACCAAAAGUACUGGCAUAUUAAUUUCAGAUUUUUAGUACCACUUAUGUCAUUAACAUUAGCAAUGGUAAAUUCCUCUUAUUUUGUUAACGUAUCUCUCAACAUGCUUAUUUAUAUUUAUUUGCUGCAGAACAUAUUAAAUCUUUGCUUAAUUUUGAAUUGUUCGCUAUAAAUUAGAACUUAUAUGUGCAUAUACAUGUAGUCAUGUAUCAAAUCCGCCGUUCAGUCAUUCAGUGCUCUGUUCAAGUGUAAGUGUUCAGUACCCAAUUUUUAAUCAUGUUUAGUAUUACUACAUCGUGGUUCAUGAUGUUCACUUGGAAAAUGAUGACCUUUUUUGUUCUUUGAUAGGUGGAUCCUGUUUCCCACCAAGUCAAGGUUUGUGAAUUCGGGAGUGCUAGAAUCUUGGUAUGUACAUGCUCUAUAAUAACAUCAAGAAAUAUAAUAUUUUAAUUUCAAUACAUAUUUAUAGAAUUGAAACUGAUAAGAUAGUAAAUAAAUGGUCAUGCUACAAAUCUUCCACAAGAGAAUGCCUCCAGAAGCAAUGGAUAGGCUUCUAGAAAAAGAUAAAGUGCCAAAUCCAUGCUAUAGAGUAUGGACUGAGGUACUAAUUUUCCUUAUCUGAUGAACCAUCUGCUUGGUGCUGUGACGAUCUCUAGGAUAUGCGGCUUGCUAAAAUGAUAUUGAUUGCUUCGUUGGUUACAUUAGUUCUACUAUUACCAUGCUGACUUGAUUAAUGGCCUUCCUGACUAUCAUUUGGUUAUCUCAUGUUUCUGAAAAUAAAAGAUAACCAUUCCUGUAAAAGUGACUAACGUUGUUGUGCGCUUAAUCUGCAUUUGUAUUUGUUUGCCUUAUUACACUCGCUUGCCUUUAUCUUGUGUUUUCUAUGUAUAAGUGUGCAAUUUUGGCAUUUUUGUAUAUCUGUUACUGUUGUUCUCUACCUACCCACGUUAGAUAAAUGAUUCACAUGGCACUGUACAAGAUUCAACAUUGGCAUGAUUCUAAUUGAACUUUCGAGCCAGAGCAGAGCAUUUUGAUAAUACCAAAAAAUGUCCUGGUGUACCAAAGGAGGGCAUGCCAAUGGCUGUGAAAGCUGACCAUAGGAGACCUCAUGCCUUGUCUUGGGAGGUCUGUUUUCUCACUAGGCAUCCUGAUUUCUUGUGUUUUAUUUUUCACUUCUGUGUAUUAUGAUUCUUUGACAUACUACAUCAGCAUAUCUUGUUGGCUCCUAUUGAAGGCCAGCAGGAAAAAAAGGUCAGAGAGUAAAUCGACGAGCCAUCUUCAAAUCAUAUCUUGUUGCAGUACCAUAUGCGUGCUCACUGUCACUUGAAUUGGUCUUUCUUCACGCAGGCUAGAACUUAUGUGCUUCAGCUCUCCGCCUUAGUCUAAAUGGUCACCAGAGCAAGGGCAACGCAGAAUCAGAUAAUGUUGGAGUGAUUGUGAAUCCCAAGGGUGAUAUGAAAGGUUUCUCUAUCACUGGACCUAUCGGCAAGGAGUGUGCUGAUCUUUGGCCUAGGAUUGCUAGCGCAGCAAACGCCAUCGUUUGAGAGCUUGUUGGAAUAUGUUCAGACUUCUAUAUGAUCAUCUUAUUAUCAGUUGCUAAGAGUGCUAUUGGGCUUAAUGGGCCCUUUAUGUUUGUUCACUUAAUUUUGUAGUAAACAGAAUUUGGUAUACCAAGGGGAUCUAUAUAACGAUGUAUG